GAGUAGAAAGCUAUUCUCCAGAAGAUAUUUGGCUUGUUCAUGUGUGCAGCUACAAAUUUAUUUCAUGCUUUAAGGUGUCAGUUUUAAUGUUUUAAAAAAAUAACUUGUAAUAAGUUGUAGGUUGUGCAUUUGUGACAAUGAUCCCUGUAUGUAAACUUCUGAUCACAACUGAAUUAAGUUAUUUUUUGAUAAAGACUUUGCACAGAAGGGUAUCAUCAAGUUCUAGAUGUCAUAAAACUAUAAUGAUUCACCAAUAGUCAGUGUGUUAUGUUUAUUUUUUUGAUUCAGUUUAAAAAUAGCACAAUGAAUUAAUGGAAAAUGGCUUGUGUUGUUUUUGGUUCAAUCCAGCCAUCAUAAAAGAGGUGGCACUUCAUAGAAAUGUGUGUCCUGGUGCUCAUCAGAAUUAUCAUUAAGUCUGUAAGAGAUAAUCAACACUCAAUAUCAGUCAGUAGCAGAGACGAGUGUAGCUUUUAUGUGUUUCCUUUGCUCAGAUAUGGUCUCCAGGCAUGUUCAAAGAGCAUUAAAAUACUCUGCUCUAAUUUGUUUUUUGUUGUUUUUUUCACCCAAGUGUCCUGUUGCAGCAUUUCAGACAAGCUGCUUGCCUAAAUGUGCCAGGGCAGAUGCGUCCUGCAAACAGGAUAUCUCAAGACGGAUUCAUAUUUGAGUGAUUGACCUUUUCAAUGUCGUUGUUACUACAUGGUGGAGGCGGCUCCAAAAAGCCACAGGAGGCCCAGACAGACAGACACAAGGCCUGAUCCCAGGGUGAUACAGUUCCAAGUGGGUUUAUCCCUUUAAUCACCCAGAGCCCAGCAUGGCCCCUGCAGAUCAAGGCUGGAAUGACACAUCCCCAGGAGCCACAGGCCACCAGUCAGGAGCCCACCAUUCUGGGACCUGGCCAAAGCACCCAGACAAACAAUACCACACCUAAGGGGGUAGCACCCCUCUGGCCCACCCAUGAUGCCAUGUGAGAGACCCCCAGGCCAUUCCCACACCUCCAGACCCCAGCAAAACAACACAGGUUCCAGGGUGGGAGCAAGAGAACCACACCGUGCCCCUGAGACCAAACCUCCCCCAGCGUUGGCAUAUGUGACCAUGGUAACAUGAAAUGUUGCGAUGAAUGCAGAUGUGUCUGGUUAAUUUGCAUUCAAAUUGGGGUUGUGUCUGGAUCUGUGCCAUGUCUGUUUGGUGCUGUUUACUGUGCUUAACCUCUAGAUGGCGUGGAACCUGGAGGAGAGGUGACAGGUGUUUUCUAUUCCCCUGAUUACCUGCUGAGGAAUAUUUAAGGAGGAGGCUGCCAGCAACUCACUGCUAGAGUGUUGCCUUUAGUGGAUUACCUGAACCUGACUUUGCCUUCUGCAAUGAAGGCUGCCUGGGUUACCCUCUUCUGGAAAGAAGCGAUCCAGCUCCAUGAACAAAGACUCAAGCCUAUUGUUACUUCUUGUGAUCACACCGGCUGGCAGCCUCCUGAUUUCUUCGCUCCUUGGAUCACCCUCCAUGAACCCUGUCCACCCUCCUCCAUCCACUUCACCAACUUCAGAAACUCUUGGACCAGCUAACCAUCCUGGCACACCAGUAUUCACCAUCCUCAGUCUCACGGAUAAACAACCCUUUGGUCUCUCCACACCCCUCUGGCGGAUCUCCCCAUCUAUCCAUUGGUAUCCCGGUUCCAGUUCCCUGCAUGUUUCAUUACACUGUAAAUAAACUCAUUACCG